rnacentral:lncRNA from 1 species
CAGACAUGGGAGACCAGGAAACCUUGAAGGGACAGUAAGGGUAACAAUGAAAGAGACAGACAUGGGAGACGAGGAAACCUUGAAGGCAGUAAGGAAAACAAUGAAAGAGACAGACAUGGGAGACCAGGAAACCUUGAAGGGGGCGUAAGGAAAACAGUGAAAGAGACAGACAUGGGAGACCAGGAAACCUUGAAGGGACAGUAAUGGAAACAGUGAAAGAGACAGACAUGGGAGACCAGGUUACAUUGAAGGGACAGAAAGGGAAACAAUGAAAGAGACAGACAUGGGAGACAAGGGAACCUUGAAGGGGCAGUAAGGAAAACAAUGAAAGAGACAGACAUGGGAGACAAGGGAACCUUGAAGGGACAGUAAGGGAAACAAUGAAAGAGACAGACAUGGGAGACAAGGAAACCUUAAAGGGACAGUAAGGGAAACAGUGAAAGAGACAGACAUGGGAGACCAGGUUACCUUGAAGGGACAGUAAGGGAAACAGUGAAAGAGAAAGACAUGGGAGACCAGGUUACCUUGAAGGGGCAGUAAGGGAAACAAUGAGAGAGACAGACAUGGGAGACCAGGAAACCUUGACGGGGCAGGAAGGGAAACAAUGAAAGAGACAGCCAUGGGAGACCAGGUUACCUUGAAGGGACAGUAAGGGAAACAGUGAAAGAGACAGACAUGGGAGACAAGGUUACAUUGAAGGGGCAGUAAGGGAAACAAUGAAAAAGACAGACAUGGGAGACAAGGUUACAUUAAAGGGACAGUAAGGGAAACAAUGAAAGAGACAGACAUGGGAGACAAUGUUACAUUGAAUCGGCAGUAAGGGAAACAGUGAAAGAGACAGACAUGGGAGACAAGGAAACCUUGA